AGUCAGCCUCUCACUCUCUACCCGCUGGGCGGUACCCCGCAUCUCGCUCUGGCCGCCCCAGAGGUUCGCGGCUUCUGGACCUGCUGUGCCCCUCUCCAGCCUGGAUCAGGACGGAGAACACCCCCGAAACCCACCUCACCAGCACAGCCGGCGGACCCUUCCGGAGGUGGCCGCAGAGACUAGCCAACUUGCGCGCCCGCCGACCCGGACCACAGCUCCCAGCACACCUCAAGGGCCCACGCCCGCCAGGACUACAAUUCCCGGCGUCCUCCGGAAGCUCAAGUGUACCCAGGCGCGGUGCCUGCUGGGAAUUGUAGUUGACGUUGGUCAGCACGGAGGCCACAGGAUCCCAGCCCGGCCUUUGUGGGACUGAGGUGGCGCUGAGUGGGAGAGCAGCAGGCGAUGCGCGAAAGGCGGGACUUGGAGAUAAAUACUGAGCACCCACAACAGGCAGCCAGCACCACUGCAGAUUGGAUACUGCAAUGAUGAUAAGCAUGGCCUGCCUUUAUGGAGGUGAUGUUAUUGUGUGGGGAGGCAGAUGGUAAACAAAGAAGUCAUUUUUCUGAGAAGUUGGUAUUUAAGCUGAGGCCUGAAUAGAGCGAAGAACUCAGGGAGAGUUCUGGAUGUUCCUGUGGAUAACCUCAAGGAGCACGGGACCUGGGACAUGACUGCCCCCAGCAUUCCUUCUGGCGGCAGACAGAGU